GGUGGAAUAGUUGGAAUCACUUCAACUGCAAAAUUGAUGAGAAAAUCAUCAAAGCAACCGCUGAUGCUCUGAUUUCCACCGGGCUCUCUAAACUUGGAUAUACCUACGUUAACAUUGAUGAUUGCUGGGCCGAAAUUGCUCGUGAUGACAAGGGUAAUCUAGCGCCCAAGAAAUCAACCUUUCCAUCAGGCAUUAAAUCUCUUGCGGAUUAUGUCCACAGUAAGGGUCUUAAGCUAGGAAUCUACUCAGAUGC